UCGUAACAAGGUCUCCGUUGGUGAACCAGCGGAGGGAUCAUUACCGAGUUUACAACUCCCAAACCCAAUGUGAACGUUACCAAACUGUUGCCUCGGCGGGGUCACGCCCCGGGUGCGUCGCAGCCCCGGAACCAGGCGCCCGCCGGAGGAACCAACCAAACUCUUUCUGUAGUCCCCUCGCGGACGUAUUUCUUUACAGCUCUGAGCAAAAAUUCAAAAUGAAUCAAAACUUUCAACAACGGAUCUCUUGGUUCUGGCAUCGAUGAAGAACGCAGCGAAAUGCGAUAAGUAAUGUGAAUUGCAGAAUUCAGUGAAUCAUCGAAUCUUUGAACGCACAUUGCGCCCGCCAGUAUUCUGGCGGGCAUGCCUGUCCGAGCGUCAUUUCAACCCUCGAACCCCUCCGGGGGAUCGGCGUUGGGGAUCGGGACCCCUCACACGGGUGCCGGCCCCUAAAUACAGUGGCGGUCUCGCCGCAGCCUCUCCUGCGCAGUAGUUUGCACAACUCGCACCGGGAGCGCGGCGCGUCCACGUCCGUAAAACACCCAACUUUCUGAAAUGUUGACCUCGGAUCAGGUAGGAAUACCCGCUGAACUUAAGCAUAUCUA
rnacentral:rRNA from 1 species